CCGGAUCGGACCCCCCCCAAACUCCCGCCCGCUUCCCCCGCACAAACCCUCCCCUUCAGCGCAGUGCCACGUUUCAAAGCAAAUCCGGACGGGAAAGGGGUGGCCGGGGGGCCUGGUGGAGGAGGAAAGGCUCCUUCUGUAGCAAAUCGCAAGAAGAGGAAAUCCAUUUCCUUAAUACCCUCCCGGUGGCAGCCCCCUUCUUUUUUCUCUAUCCCCCCCCCCUUUUUUUUUUCUGCAAAUGCAUUGAAUGAGCGAGUCGCUUCCAGUACACAAAACCCUUUUGAUGUGCUUGCGCAUAUAUAUAUUUAUUUAAGGGUCAGAGGGGUUUCAAAUCUAACCCAAGAGGGCCAGCUGUAUUCCAAAACCACAUGCAAAUGCUGCAAAGUUUCGUAGUUGUACUUUAAAAAAAAAAAAAAAAAGUCACUGCGGUUGCAUCUCUGUCAGGGUUUCUCCCCACAGCUGGUUUUUUUCGGGGUGCUGGUGCCUGCGGUUGCAUGCUGGGAACCCCGUCCCAGAGAGGUGGUACCCGGGCUCGUUGCUGCGAGGGCUUUUGGUUGACACGAUGCUCCGAGGGCGGUUUUGGAAUGCGAUGCGAUGAACCCCCCCUGCCCCGUGGAGGUGGCAGCAGGGCGGGUUUUGUGAUGUUUCUGAUUUUUUUUUUUUUUUUAAUGUUUUUUAAUUAAAUCUCCCCUGGUUGCUGAGAGGCAGCCGUUUCCUGCUGGUGCCACCGCUCUCCCGGCAGACCUCGGGGGGGACGGUGCUCGCCGUGCCGGGGUGGCUUUCAGUGCUCUUCCCUCUGCGCCGCCGGGCUGCGUCCCUGCUUGGUAGCAUGUGCCCUCGUCUUCCCCUCGGCAUGGGGUUUAGGACAACUUUUUUGGUCCUUGUGGUUAUUUAUUUUAUUUUAUUUUAUUUAUUCCUUCUGCUUUCUUUUCACCUGGAGGAGAAAUCGGGCUCUGCUCUUCCCCAGCCCUCCAAACCAUCCAUUCCCAUUUGCACCACCUCUACAGCGAGUUUUGGUGGCAGCUCAGGUAUUUCUACCUUGCGACACCUUUUCAGCACCUCCUCUGCGACGGUGGGGAGGACAUGUCCCCAUCCCUUCUCCUCCUCCUCCUCCCUGCCCUGCUUCCCAGCUUCCCACCCCACUGCCGGGCUCCCAUCUUCCCUGAUGCCGGUGGCCACGGCUGAGCCCCAGCGGAAACAUCCGAAUCCUACUCACAAUAGGCCGUUUCCUGCAGGGGAGGUUUCUUUGCGGAGGCACAAACGGGAUUUUUAACCUUUUCCCAGGCGGUCCCUGGGAGUUGAGUGCUUGCUCGCUCCUGCACCCUGCUCGCGGUGAUGCUCGAGGGCUGCCAUGGGUCUCCCCGUCCCCAAGCGCGGUGCGAGGGAGAAGGUACCACUCGCGAUGGAAAUACCGUUUGCAUCUCACUUGAUGCCCGGCUUCGCUGCCGGCUGCGUCGCUAGUGCCAUCCUGGCUCCAGGGAGGGGAUUUGAGGACACAGAGCGUGGCACGAGGCUGCUGGGCCGUGUUACGG